GUGCCAGCCGCCGCGGUAAUACGUAGGGGGCAAGCGUUGUCCGGAAUUAUUGGGCGUAAAGGGCACGCAGGCGGUUUCGUCAGUCCGAUGUGACAGGCCACGGCUCAACCGUGGAAGGCCAUUGGAAACUGCGAAGCUUGAGGACAGAAGAGGAGAGUGGAAUUCCACGUGUAGCGGUGAAAUGCGUAGAUAUGUGGAGGAACACCAGUGGCGAAGGCGACUCUCUGGUCUGUACCUGACGCUGAGGUGCGAAAGCAUGGGGAGCAAACAGGAUUAGAAACCCCAGUAGUCC
rnacentral:rRNA from 1 species